CCUACGGGGGGCUGCAGUGGGGAAUAUUGGACAAUGGGGGGAACCCUGAUCCAGCCAUGCCGCGUGUGUGAAGAAGGCUCUCGGGUUGUAAAGCACUUUCAGUGAGGAAGAACGCCUGGUGGUUAAUACCCAUCAGGAAAGACAUCACUCACAGAAGAAGCACCGGCUAACUCCGUGCCAGCAGCCGCGGUAAUACGGAGGGUGCGAGCGUUAAUCGGAAUUACUGGGCGUAAAGCGCGCGUAGGUGACUUGAUAAGCCGGUUGUGAAAGCCCCGGGCUCAACCUGGGAACGGCAUCCGGAACUGUCAAGCUAGAGUGCAGGAGAGGAAGGUAGAAUUCCCGGUGUAGCGGUGAAAUGCGUAGAGAUCGGGAGGAAUACCAGUGGCGAAGGCGGCCUUCUGGACUGACACUGACACUGAGGUGCGAAAGCGUGGGUAGCAAACAGGAUUAGAUACCCGAGUAGUC
rnacentral:rRNA from 1 species